AGGGAGUGUGAGGUGAGAAGGGGUUCUCACCAUAGGAAGCCAGGUGGACCAGCAGCAUGCCCACGUUCUCCACCACCUCCGGGUCGUCCCUGUGGAGCUGGUAGGUCUCCUUGAUGAGGCUGAGGCCACUGCCGCCCUCCUCCUGCACCACCACCUUGAAGGCCGCCAGCUCUGGGGGAUGGGUGGGAGUGGGUUCAUUCCCUGCUUUCCCCUGAAAGGGAAGAGCCUUCUGCCCAGGACGGGAUGGGACCCCAGAGCUCACACAGGGGCCUGGGACAGGACAAGAGACGGGACCCAGGAGGCCCCAUCAGCUUGGGCGGACCAGUAGGCUGGCAUGACCUGAACAGGACCAUGCAAGAACAGAGGAGGCAGCCCCCCCAGAGCCAAAGGGGUCGUUGUCACUCUGGGGAAGAUUAGGUAGUACAGAGGUCAAGACCAUGAGCCCGGAGUUGCCAGGCACCAGCUAGUGUCUUGGCCAGGCCCAGGAUGCUCUCUGAAGGACUGUGCUGUGGGCCGAGCGUCGGUUGUGCUGUGCUCAGCGCUGGGCCCAGCCUGUCUAGCUGAGUAACAGGCAGGGUUUGUGUUGUGGGGAAUUGGAGACACUGUUUGCAGAGCUGUUUUGAUCAGUCACGGUGUGCCUGCAUGUUAGGAAACCUGUGCAGAUGUGAUGUGUUUAUGGACAGAGAGAGGGUCACAGGGUAGCAUAACGCAGAGACAAGAGUUUAUCAAGUGUGCGUGAAAGUCUUGAUGGUGAUUUCUGGAUGACUGGACUUCAGAUCGUUUUUAAUUUCUUUUCCUUUUUGAUUUGUUGCUUCUGUUUUUUGGUUUGUGGCACCUGGCAGAUGUAACUGAUGGGGGCUGAUUCUUGCCCCCACCUCUAGGUGGCAGCCUCGUCCUGUCCCCAGGCUCACCUGACACCUUCACCAGGGUUCUUGGGUUUCCCGGGCUUUCCGUGGUUUGGAGCUCUCUUUUUCCUGGGGCGCUGGAGUGCCAAGAUGGGGUCUAGAGG
rnacentral:lncRNA from 10 species